rnacentral:rRNA from 1 species
UACGAAGGGGGCUAGCGUUGCUCGGAUUCACUGGGCUUAAAGGGCGCGUAGGCGGGUUGUCAAGUCAGGGGUGAAAGCCUCCAGCUCAACUGGAGAAGUGCCUUUGAUACUGAUGAUCUUGAGGGAGGUAGGGGCAUGUGGAACUUCCGGUGGAGCGGUGAAAUGCGUAGAUAUAGGAAGGAACACCAGUGGCGAAGGCGACCACCUGGACUGAUACUGACACUGAGGUGCGAAAGCGUGGGGAGCAAACAGG